AGCGAACGCUGGCGGCAGGCUUAACACAUGCAAGUCGAGCGGGCCCUUCGGGGUCAGCGGCGGACGGGUGAGCAACGCGUGGGAACGUGCCUUCUGGUCUGGAAUAACCCUGGGAAACUAGGGCUAAUACCGGCUACGCUCUUGUGGGGAAAGGUUUACUGCCGGAAGAUCGGCCGGCGACUGAUUAGCUAGUUGGUGGGGUAACGGCCUACCACGGGGAGGAUCAGUAGCUGGUCUGAGAGGAUGAUCAGCCACACUGGGACUGAGACACGGCCCAGACUCUUACGGGAGGCAGCAGUGGGGAAUAUUGGACAGUGGGCGCAAGCCUGAUCCAGCCAUGCCGCGUGAGUGAUGAAGGCCUUAGGGUUGUAAAGCUCUUUUAUCCGGGACGAUAAUGACGGUACCGGAGGAAUAAGCCCCGGCUAACUUCGUG
rnacentral:rRNA from 1 species